AUGAGUCACAUCAACUAUCAUGUUCCAAGAAGUACAGGUAGAGGUGGAGGAGUAGCAGCAAUUUAUAACUCAGAUUUAUUAAUUACUCCUAAACCUAAACAUAGUUAUAACUCAUUUGAGAGCCUCACUCUGAGCCUUUCUCACCCAGACUCUAAAACUCAGAAACCAGUUGUGUUUUGUAUUGUUUACCGUCCUCCUGCUCCAUAUUCAGAGUUCUUAACUGAAUUCUCUGAAUUCUUAUCUGACUUAGUUCUUAGCACAGAUAAAGUCAUUGUAGUGGGAGACUUUAACAUUCAUGUAGAUGUUGACAGCAACUGUCUCAGCACUGCUUUUAACUCCUUAAUAGACACUAUUGGUUUUACACAGCAGGUAAAUGAACCCACUCAUCGUUUUAACCACACCCUAGAUCUUGUCCUGACAUAUGGGGUUGAAAUUGAUAAUUUAAUAGUUCUUCCCCAAAACCCUCUGUUAUCUGACCAUUUCUUAUUAACUUUUGAAUUUAGCACAACUGACCCUAUAACAGCUGGAAAGAAAUGUUACUAUAGCAGAUGUUUAUCUGACAAUGCUGUUGCCAGAUUCAAGCAGAUGAUUCCAUCAUCUUUUGCCUCAAUGUCUUGCAGAUACACAGAGAACAGUCACCUUAAUCCUUAUGAACAGGUUGACUGUCUUGUAGAUGAUGCUGCAGCUUCUCUACGUACAAUGUUAGACACAGUGGCUCCUCUGAAGAAGAAGACAGUGAAUCAGAGGAGGUUAGCUCCGUGGUAUAACUCAGACAUCCGCAGCCUAAAGCAAAGGACUAGACAACUAGAAAGACAGUGGCGUUCCAACAAAAUAAAUGUAAACUGCAUUGCAUGGAAGGACAGUCUAAUGAAAUAUAAAAAAGCACUUUGUGCUGCUAGAAAAACAUAUUAUUCCUCCCUAAUUGAGGAAAACAAAAACAACCCCAGGUUUCUUUUCAGCACUGUAGCCAGGAUGACAAAGAGUCAUAGCUGUAUUGAGUCUACUAUCCCCUUAAAUCUCAGCAGCAAUGACUUUAUGAACUACUUUACUAAUAAAAUUAUCAUCAUUAGAAAAAACAUUCAGCAGCGACCUCUUCCAGAUCCAUCAACUUUAAAAUUUAUUAAAUCCUCUGUCUUACCUAGACAGCUUCUCCCCCAUAACUCAUAUGGAGUUAACCUCAAUAAUUAA
ensembl:lncRNA